AAUUGGCCAAAUGUUGGAUACCAAAUUCCUGGAUUAGUGAUGCCAGUAGCCGGGCAGGGUGACCCUCGGAAACUUAUGCAGACUGGUAACUCAGGACUCACAAAUCUAGCAGGAAGCUCUGUACCAUAUCCAAUGUCUAGCUUUUAUACCUCAGGGCAGGUUACCCCUGUUAAUGGUGUGACGACUGGAGUUAGUAAGCCUCAAUUGGGAGCUCCAGCUUCAUCCGGGAAUUCAUCACAAUCUGGAAAGGAUUAUGAUUUCUCAUCAUUAACACAAGGCAUGUUCCCAAAGCAGUGAGUUUCGAGGGAGUGACAAUGUUGGCCUUUUCAUACCAAUACCAUGAUAGUUGUAUUACAGGAAAAGAGCACCUGAAAAAGAUUUUCCUCCUGUAUGGCGAUUGUAAACUAUUUUGUAGAGGCA
rnacentral:misc_RNA from 1 species